UCAGUAACGCGUAGUCAACCUACCCUAUGGACAAGAAUANUCUCGGGAAACUGAGCAUAAUUCUUGAUAGAUCAUAAUGCCUGGAAUGGUUUAUGGUUAAAAUGAUUCGUCGCCAUAGGAUGGGACUGCGGCCUAUCAGCUUGUUGGUGAGGUAAUGGCCCACCAAGGCGAUUACAGGUACGGGCUCUGAGAGGAGAAGCCCGGAGAUGGGUACUGAGACAAGGACCCAGGCCCUAUGGGGCGCAGCAGGCGAGAAAACUUUGCAAUGUGCGAAAGCACGACAAGGUUAGUCCGAGUGAUUUCUGCUAAAGAGAUCUUUUGCUAGUUAUAAAACCACUAGUGAAUAAGGGGUGGGCAAGUUCUGGUGUCAGCCGCCGCGGUAAAACCAGCACCUCAAGUGGUCAGGAUGAUUAUUGGGCCUAAAGCAUCCGUAGCCGGCUCUGUAAGUUUUCGGUUAAAUCUAUGCGCUCAACGUAUGGGCUGCCGAAAAUACUGUAGAGAUAGGGAGUGGGAGAGGUAGACGGUACUCGGUAGGAAGGGGUAAAAUCCUUUGAUCUAUCGAUGACCACCUGUGGCGAAGGCGGUCUACCAGAACACGUUCGACGUUGGGGGAUGAAAGCUGGGGGAGCAAACCGGAUUAGAUACCCGGGUAGUCCCAGCUGUAAACGAUGCAGACUCGAUGAUGCAUUGGCAUAUAGCCAGUGCAGUGUCGCAGGGAAGCCGUUAAGUCUGCCGCCUGGGAAGUACGUACGCAAGUAUGAAACUUAAAGGAAUUGGCGGGGGAGCACCACAAGGGGUGAAGCCUGCGGUUCAAUUGGAGUCAACGCCGGA
rnacentral:rRNA from 1 species